AUACGUAGGGAGCGAGCGUUGUCCGGAAUUACUGGGUGUAAAGGGUGCGUAGGCGGGACUGCAAGUCAGAUGUGAAAUGCCGGGGCUCAACCCCGGAGCUGCAUUUGAAACUGUGGUUCUUGAGUGAGGUAGAGGUAAGCGGAAUUCCUAGUGUAGCGGUGAAAUGCGUAGAUAUUAGGAGGGACAUCGGUGGCGAAGGCGGCUUACUGGGCCUUUACUGACGCAGAGGCACGAAAGCGUGGGGAGCAAACAGGAUUAGAUACCCUGGUAAUCCACGCUGUAAACGAUGAUGACUAGGUGUGGGGGGACUGAACCCUUCCGUGCCGCAGUUAACACAAUAAGUCAUCCACCUGGGGAGUACGGCCGCAAGGUUGAAACUCAAAUGAAUUGACGGGG
rnacentral:rRNA from 1 species